AUCCGGACUUACUGGGCGUAAAGGGUGCGUCGGCGGUCUUUCAAGUCAGGAGUGAAAGGCUACGGCUCACCCGUAGUAAGAUCUUGAAACUGGGAGACUUGAGUGCAGGAGAGGAGAGUGGAAUUCCUAGUGUAGCGGGGAAAUGCGUAGAUAUUAGGAGGAACACCAGUUGCGAAGGCGGCUCUCUGGACUGUAACUGACGCUGAGGCACGAAAGCG
rnacentral:rRNA from 1 species